ensembl:lncRNA
GUGCAGGUCAGGAUUGUGCAUUAUGAUGAUAUAUCCAUAGGAACUUAGAAAGCUGCCUGAUUUUCACUUGAAAUUUUCAUUGCCGGACCUCAGGAUGAAGUUUUCAACAGAUGAUUGAAAUUGCCCAGGUGGGAAAACCAUUGGAAAAAAAGCAAAUGAUGUAUUAUUAUAGGGUAUUCAAGCACACUUAAAAUGAGAGAGAUACUUCAGUGCUGCUGGUGAAGUGCUGGUUUCCUGAGUGACUCCUCCCAAAGUAAUUCUGCAUAGAUAUAGAUGUUUAGUCAGGCCUGAACUGGAGAUUAUAGCACAGCGAAAUCAGAGCUCAUCUGAACCCUGACCUGGAAGUUCUAAGGUGGAGAAGGAGACUUUUAUGUGCUUGGCAUUCAAAUGUGUUUUCCUCUUGUGGCCUCAACUGGUGUGAUCCUACUUCAACAAGAAGGCAUGAAACAGGGCUGUUUUUAUUUCCAUGUUUUUCUUUCUGUGCUUUCACCUGCCUGCCAGAGGCUGACAGAAUUUUGUCAGAAACGCCAGAAGAAUUCCCGCUUUCAGAUGAACAAGUCCAAGCAAGCCCUG